CCAAUAGCGUAUAUUAAAGUUGUUGCAGUUAAAAAGCUCGUAGUUGAAUUUCGGAGUUUGUCAAUUGGUCGGGCUUCACUGUCCGUACUGAUUCGAUGGAUUCUUACCUUCUGAAUAACCUUCAUGCCAUUAAUUUGGUGCGUUGGGGAAGCAGAGCUAUUACCUUGAAAAAAUUAGAGUGCUUAAAGCAGGCUUUUGCUUGAAUAGAUUAGCAUGGAAUAAUGAAAUAGGACGGCAUGGUUCUAUUUUGUUGGUUUCUAGGAUCACCGUAAUGAUUAAUAGGGAUAGUUGGGGGCAUUAGUAUUCAAUUGUCAGAGGUGAAAUUCUUGGAUUUAUUGAAGACUAACUACUGCGAAAGCAUUUGCCAAGGAUGUUUUCAUUAAUCAAGAACGAAAGUUAGGGGAUCGAAGACGAUCAGAUACCGUCGUAGUCUUAACCAUAAACUAUGCCGACUAGGGAUCGGACGAAGUUAAUUUUUUAAUGACUCGUUCGGCGCCUUACG
rnacentral:rRNA from 1 species